rnacentral:rRNA from 1 species
UGCCCAGACUCCUACGGGAGGCAGCAGUGGGGAAUAUUGCACAAUGGGGGAAACCCUGAUGCAGCGACGCCGCGUGAGCGAAGAAGUACCUCGGUAUGUAAAGCUCUAUCAGCAGGGAAGAAGAUGACGGUACCUGACCAAGAAGCUCCGGCUAAAUACGUGCCAGCAGCCGCGGUAAUACGUAUGGAGCAAGCGUUAUCCGGAUUUACUGGGUGUAAAGGGAGCGUAGGCGGCCUGCCAAGUCUGAUGUGAAAUACCGGGGCUCAACCCCGGGGCUGCAUUGGAAACUGGCAGGCUGGAGUGUCGGAGAGGCAGGCGGAAUUCCUAGUGUAGCGGUGAAAUGCGUAGAUAUUAGGAGGAACACCGGCGGCGAAGGCGGCCUGCUGGACCGUAACUGACGUUGAGGCUCGAAAGCGUGGGGAGCAAACAGGAUUAGAUACCCUGGUAA